UUAUUAUUUUGCACAGACAGCAGACUACUUGCGUAGUAACCAAAAAAAAAAAAUGCAGACUACUUGUGUUGUUACUUGUUUACAAAGAUGAAAAAAUCCUUUUUAAAAGUUUAAUAUAAAUUUCCGAUUUAUUAUAUUAAAUGCAUGAACUAAUUUAAUUUGAAGGUUGUAUGCUGCAAACGACAUUGCUUUAAAUGGAAGAAUAGUAACAGAGUUUCUGGCUGGCCCUGAACAUUUGAAUCAAAGAGGAACUCUUCAUGGAGGUUUCAUAUCUCAUCUUGUUGAUGCUAUAUUAACUAUAAAUGAUAAAACUGAAACAACAGGUGUAUCAAUUGAUCUCAGUAUAAGCUAAUCCCUGAAACAACUGGAGUGAUGUUGACAGGCUUCAACUAGUAAAAAAUGAAUCAUGAGUUCUGCACAGCUAUUUAAAACCCAUGAAAUCCGGAAGACGUCCACUGCUGCUCAAAGGCCUCCCCGAAAGAUCUCCACGACGACCGGUCUUGCGCUGCCCUCGUCCAGCGUAUUCCGGAGAUUUUGACCAGAUCGUCGGUCCAUCUUGUGGGGGCCUACCAACACUACAUCUUCCGGUACGAGAUCGCGAUUCGAAGACAUUUCUGCCCCACCGGCCAUCUGUUCAUCGAACUAUGUGCACUGCCCACAGCCACUUGUGUGGACAAACACACAGUGUCGGCAUAUCAUCGGGGUCGGACGGCAGAACUGGGCUUAUGGACAAAGCUCUUACUGGACAAUUAUCGUGUCGUCUUUAACUCCUUUAGACGUGACAUUUAGUGUGACGGCAGUGGUCUGCACUGACUCCACGUUCUUCGGAUGUAAGUGGCCUUAGCCAGACUCGACAGUCGACAUUCAGGCUCCGGAUAAUACAACAACCCUCCCGCUCGUGCAUUAAUACAUAUUAUUGAAGUGAUACUACUUUUGACGCGUUAUGGAACAAAUAUCACAGUGAAUUUCUACGAUGUUUGUUUCCGAGUCAUGGAUGUUUAUAUGUAUUUAUGCAUGUUUAAAUAUAAGAGAAGAGUAGAGCAGCACGGGAGAGGAAGAUUAAUAUUAAUCCUCUUUUUGCUAUACUUAAAAGGUUCUUUGACAAAUAAGGCUUAUCAGUAUAUAGGAGAUAAUAAUGCAUGGUGCUUGUCCAGUUCUACGCAGGCCAUUAAAAUUAUAUAGUACCAUUAUAUUAAGUAGUCUAACAAUUUUGUUAUUAUAUAAUUUAAAAGAUGGACUGGGAGUUUCUUGUCAGUUCUUCUCCCUAUUUCAAAGCCCCUUUUCGCACUGAUGUAGCUUCAUGACGUCCAACAAGUGUUAUUGAAAUAUUUUUUGUUACUGUCACUUAUGGUAAUUAAUAAUGAAGUAAUAAAUAUUUUUUUUUAUUCA